AUUGAACGCUGGCGGCAUGCCUUACACAUGCAAGUCGAACGGCAGCGGACCUUCGGGUGCCGGCGAGUGGCGAACGGGUGAGUAAUAUAUCGGAACGUACCUUUCAGUGGGGGAUAACGUAGCGAAAGUUACGCUAAUACCGCAUAUUCUGUGAGCAGGAAAGCUGGGGAUCGCAAGACCUUGCGCUGAUUGAGCGGCCGAUAUCAGAUUAGCUAGUUGGUGAGGUAAAGGCUCACCAAGGCGACGAUCUGUAGCGGGUCUGAGAGGAUGAUCCGCCACACUGGAACUGAGACACGGUCCAGACUCCUACGGGAGGCAGCAGUGGGGAAUUUUGGACAAUGGGCGCAAGCCUGAUCCAGCCAUGCCGCGUGAGUGAAGAAGGCCU
rnacentral:rRNA from 1 species